rnacentral:rRNA from 1 species
CCUACGGGAGGCAGCAGUGAGGAAUAUUGGUCAAUGGACGAGAGUCUGAACCAGCCAAGUAGCGUGAAGGAUGACUGCCCUAUGGGUUGUAAACUUCUUUUAUAUGGGAAUAAAAUGUUCCACGUGUGGGAUUUUGUAUGUACCAGAUGAAUAAGGAUAGGGUAACUCCGUGCCAGCAGCCGCGGUAAUACGGAGGAUCCGAGCUUUAUUCGGAUUUAUUGGGUUUCAAGGGAGCGUAGGUGGAUUGUUAAGUCAGUUGUGAAAGUUUGCGGCUCAACCGUAAAAUUGCAGUUGAAACUGGCAGUCUUGAGUACAGUAGAGGUGGGCGGAAUUCGUGGUGUAGCGGUGAAAUGCUUAGAUAUCACGAAGAACUCCGAUUGCGAAGGCAGUUCACUGGACUGCAACUGACACUGAGGCUCGAAAGUGUGGGUAUCAAACAGGAUUAGAUACCCCUGUAGUC